AAAGGCGAAAAGAACCCCGGCGAGGGGAGUGAAAAAGAACCUGAAACCGUGUACGUACAAGCAGUGGGAGCCCCACCACCAAAGCAUUCUCUGGUGUUGAAGGCCCUGCAAAGCAGCAUCGCGGUGGCGGAGCGUCGUUUGCGACGCCCAACACACAAAACAAGCGGUGAAUGCUUUGGGGUGGGGUGACUGCGUACCUUUUGUAUAAUGGGUCAGCGACUUAUAUUCUGUAGCAAGGUUAACCGAAUAGGGGAGCCGGAGGGAAACCGAGUCUUAAUUGGGCGUUAAGUUGCAGGGUAUAGACCCGAAACCCGGUGAUCUAGCCAUGGGCAGGUUGAAGGUUGGGUAACACUAACUGGAGGACCGAACCGACUAAUGUUGAAAAAUUAGCGGAUGACCUGUGGCUGGGGGUGAAAGGCCAAUCAAACCGGGAGAUAGCUGGUUCUCCCCGAAAGCUAUUUAGGUAGCGCCUCGUGAAUUCAUCUCCGGGGGUAGAGCACUGUUUCGGCUAGGGGGCCAUCCCGGCUUACCAACCCGAUGCAAACUGCGAAUACCGGAGAAUGUUAUCACGGGAGACACACGGCGGGUGCUAACGUCCGUCGUGAAGAGGGAAACAACCCAGACCGCCAGCUAAGGUCCCAAAGUCAUGGUUAAGUGGGAAACGAUGUGGGAAGGCCCAGACAGCCAGGAUGUUGGCUUAGAAGCAGCCAUCAUUUAAAGAAAGCGUAAUAGCUCACUGGUCGAGUCGGCCUGCGCGGAAGAUGUAACGGGGCUAAACCAUGCACCGAAGCUGCGGCAGCGAACGUAUCACCCAAGACAACUUUACGGAGUUGACGAUUGACGGAGCGAAGCGACGUCAAAGCGUUCAUUAAAGUCGAGUUGGCUUAGGGAUACGUUCGUUGGGUAGGGGAGCGUUCUGUAAGCCUGUGAAGGUGUGUCGUGAGGCAUGCUGGAGGUAUCAGAAGUGCGAAUGCUGACAUAAGUAACGAUAAAGCGGGUGAAAAGCCCGCUCGCCGGAAGACCAAGGGUUCCUGUCCAACGUUAAUCGGGGCAGGGUGAGUCGACCCCUAAGGCGAGGCCGAAAGGCGUAGUCGAUGGGAAACGGGUUAAUAUUCCCGUACUUGGUGUUACUGCGAAGGGGGGACGGAGAAGGCUAUGUUGGCCGGGCGACGGUUGUCCCGGUUUAAGCGUGUAGGUGUGUGUUCCAGGUAAAUCCGGUUCACUUUAACACUGAGGCGUGACGACGAGGCACUACGGUGCUGAAGCAACAAAUGCCCUGCUUCCAGGAAAAGCCUCUAAGCAUCAGGUAACACGAAAUCGUACCCCAAACCGACACAGGUGGUCAGGUAGAGAAUACCAAGGCGCUUGAGAGAACUCGGGUGAAGGAACUAGGCAAAAUGGUGCCGUAACUUCGGGAGAAGGCACGCUGACACGUAGGUGAAGUGAUUUACUCAUGGAGCUGAAGUCAGUCGAAGAUACCAGCUGGCUGCAACUGUUUAUUAAAAACACAGCACUGUGCAAACACGAAAGUGGACGUAUACGGUGUGACGCCUGCCCGGUGCCGGAAGGUUAAUUGAUGGGGUCAGCGUAAGCGAAGCUCCUGAUCGAAGCCCCGGUAAACGGCGGCCGUAACUAUAACGGUCCUAAGGUAGCGAAAUUCCUUGUCGGGUAAGUUCCGACCUGCACGAAUGGCGUAAUGAUGGCCAGGCUGUCUCCACCCGAGACUCAGUGAAAUUGAACUCGCUGUGAAGAUGCAGUGUACCCGCGGCAAGACGGAAAGACCCCGUGAACCUUUACUAUAGCUUGACACUGAACAUUGAGCCUUGAUGUGUAGGAUAGGUGGGAGGCUUUGAAGUGUGGACGCCAGUCUGCAUGGAGCCGACCUUGAAAUACCACCCUUUAAUGUUUGAUGUUCUAACGUGGACCCGUAAUCCGGGUUGCGGACAGUGUCUGGUGGGUAGUUUGACUGGGGCGGUCUCCUCCUAAAGAGUAACGGAGGAGCACGAAGGUUGGCUAAUCCUGGUCGGACAUCAGGAGGUUAGUGCAAUGGCAUAAGCCAGCUUGACUGCGAGCGUGACGGCGCGAGCAGGUGCGAAAGCAGGUCAUAGUGAUCCGGUGGUUCUGAAUGGAAGGGCCAUCGCUCAACGGAUAAAAGGUACUCCGGGGAUAACAGGCUGAUACCGCCCAAGAGUUCAUAUCGACGGCGGUGUUUGGCACCUCGAUGUCGGCUCAUCACAUCCUGGGGCUGAAGUAGGUCCCAAGGGUAUGGCUGUUCGCCAUUUAAAGUGGUACGCGAGCUGGGUUUAGAACGUCGUGAGACAGUUCGGUCCCUAUCUGCCGUGGGCGCUGGAGAACUGAGGGGGGCUGCUCCUAGUACGAGAGGACCGGAGUGGACGCAUCACUGGUGUUCGGGUUGUCAUGCCAAUGGCACUGCCCGGUAGCUAAAUGCGGAAGAGAUAAGUGCUGAAAGCAUCUAAGCACGAAACUUGCCCCGAGAUGAGUUCUCCCUGAGACUUAGAGUCUCCUGAAGGAACGUUGAAGACGACGACGUUGAUAGGCCGGGUGUGUAAGCGCAGCG
rnacentral:rRNA from 1 species